UAUAUAUAUAUAUAUAUGUGUGUGUGUGUAUAGAAAUGAUUGAGAUUCAAUUGAAUUAGGUACUUAAGUUGAAGCAUCAAAUCAGUGCAGUAUUAUCUGU